rnacentral:rRNA from 1 species
GACGAACGCUGGCGGCGUGCUUAACACAUGCAAGUCGAACGGAAAGGCCCUGCUUUUGUGGGGUGCUCGAGUGGCGAACGGGUGAGUAACACGUGAGUAACCUGCCCUUGACUUUGGGAUAACUUCAGGAAACUGGGGCUAAUACCGGAUAGGAGCUCCUGCUGCAUGGUGGGGUUUGGAAAGUUUCGGCGGUUGGGGAUGGACUCGCGGCUUAUCAGCUUGUUGGUGGGGUAGUGGCUUACCAAGGCUUUGACGGGUAGCCGGCCUGAGAGGGUGACCGGCCACAUUGGGACUGAGAUACGGCCCAGACUCCUACGGGAGGCAGCAGUGGGGAAUAUUGCACAAUGGGCGGAAGCCUGAUGCAGCAACGCCGAGUGCGGGAUGACGGCCUUCGGGUUGUAAACCGCUUUCGCCUGUGACGAAGCGUGAGUGACGGUAAUGGGUAAAGAAGCACCGGCUAACUACGUG